CAGCAGCCGCGGGAAUACAGAGGGUGCGAGCGUUAAUCGGAUUUACUGGGCGUAAAGCGUGCGUAGGCGGCUUCUUAAGUCGGAUGUGAAAUCCCUGAGCUUAACUUAGGAAUUGCAUUCGAUACUGGGAAGCUAGAGUAUGGGAGAGGAUGGUAGAAUUCCAGGUGUAGCGGUGAAAUGCGUAGAGAUCUGGAGGAAUACCGAUGGCGAAGGCAGCCAUCUGGCCUAAUACUGACGCUGAGGUACGAAAGCAUGGGGAGCAAACAGGAUUAGAUACCCCCGUAGUCCCUGUCUCUUAUAA
rnacentral:rRNA from 1 species